CAUUAAAACUGUGUGUAUUCAAAUGGGGAGAGUACAUAAACCUCUUCAUCUUGGUAGAGUUCUGUUCAGUUCAAAGGAGCCAUGUGCAUAGGAGACCAAACACGGAUUAUCAAAUAGACUCUCAAAUCCUACUGCAACCAUGUGACCUUAGGGAAGCUAAUUAACGCCCUGAGCCUCAGUUCUCUUAUCAGUUACAUAGGGGCAAAACCAUGUAUUUAAUCAGGUUGUGUAAAGAUCAAAGAAGAUAAUGUAAAAGAAAGGUCUGUCUGUCUGGUUCAUUCGAGCCCAAAGUGAAGGUUUGCCUUCCUCUUUUCUCUGCCCUGAAUCCUCAUACUACAGAGCAGUUGACUUUCUUGAAUCUCACUUAUCCUCUCAGAUGAACUUGCCUUCACAUCUCAGAAUAGUGAGCCAAAGACAGCAUUGAUGCUGCAAAUACAUUACUGUUGGGAUUCAACACGGACUGUGCAGAUGCAGAGGAAGAGGAUGCAGACUGGGAUGCAGCAAGGACUGUGCAGAUGCAGAGGACACACAGACAUGAUGUCUGUGCAGGUUUAUCUUGGACGCUAACUUGGGCCAGUCCCAUGGCCCCCAGAGGAGGAUCCACUCCCAGGUGUUCUAGCAUGCUCA
rnacentral:lncRNA from 1 species